CCUACGGGUGGCAGCAGUGGGGGAUAUUGCACAAUGGGGGAAACCCUGAUGCAGCGACGCCGCGUCGGCGAAGAAGUAUUUCGGUAUGUAAAGCCCGAUCAGCAGGGAAGAAGCAAUGACGGUACCUGCGUAAGAAGCACCGGCUAAAUACGUGCCAGCAGCCGCGGUAAUACUAAUGGUGCAAGCGUUAUCCGGAUUUACUGGGUGUAAAGGGAGCGCAGGCGGCACGGCAAGCCUGAUGUGAAAGCCCGCGGCCCAACCGCGGGACUGACUUGGGAACUACCGGGCUGGAGUGCCGGAGAGGUAGGCGGAAUUCCUAGUGUAGCGGUGAAAUGCGUAGAUAUUAGGAGGAACACCAGUGGCGAAGGCGGCCUACUGGACGGUGACUGACGCUGAGGCUCGAAAGCGUGGGGAGCAAACAGGAUUAGAUACCCCAGUAGUC
rnacentral:rRNA from 1 species